UACAGAGGGUGCGAGCGUUGUCCGGAAUCACUGGGCGUAAAGGGCGCGUAGGUGGCGCUCCAAGUCCGUGGUGAAAGCUCGAUGCUUAACAUCGAGUCGGCCACGGAGACUGGAGGGCUCGAGCACUGUAGGGGCAGAUGGAAUUCCGGGUGUAGCGGUGGAAUGCGUAGAGAUCCGGAAGAACACCGGUGGCGAAGGCGGUCUGCUGGGCAGUUGCUGACACUGAGGCGCGACAGCGUGGGGAGCGAACAGG
rnacentral:rRNA from 1 species